UUUUAAAUGUGUACUAAAUGUGUUUAUACUUAUUUUUAGACAUUGGGUUCUUCAGUGAAGGAAAAAUUACAACAGUGGAAUCUCAUACAUUAAACAUCCACAUGCCAAUUAACUGAAAUAUUUCAAGAGGAAGGAGUCAAUGAAGGAAGUUUUAUGCGACCGGAUGACACCAGCAUUGCUGCACUAACUCCAAGAGAAGAAGUUUUUAGCAUUUUCAACGGUGAAACAGUGGAACAGAAGACCUUACUACAAGCACUGGAUCUGUGUUUCAGACAUUUCUACAUUUAUGACAUCUACUACCCAAAGCUCCUCUGCACCCAUUUGCAGCACACAGUCUUUAAUAUUCCAGGAGUUCUUUCAACACAUUACCUCUUCCUUAGAAACUUUGUAUUUAUUGAUCCGUAAAAACUUUUUAUGUUGCUGAUUAUCAGCAAGUCCAGCAGCCAGCAGAUUUACUUUGUUUUAUUAUUAUUAUUAUUAUUAUUAUUAUUACUUGUGUUUAUGAUUUUUUAUUUUUGUUUUAUUGAUAAAAGUUUGUAUGUUAUGUUUGUUUUAUUUGUGCACAUUUGUGUAUGUGUUGAUAUAAAUAAAUAUGAAUUGAUACACAUUUAUGACCCUGGACAACAAAACCGGUCAUAAGUAUCAUGGGUACAUUUGUAGAAAUAGCCAAAAUUGCAUUGUAUGGGUCAAAAUUAUCAAAUUUUCUUUCAUGCCAAAAAUCAUUAGAAUAUUAAGUAAAGAUCAUGUUCCAUGGAGAUAUUUUGUAAAUCUCCUACCAUAAGUAUAUUGAAACUGAAUUUAUUAUUAGUAAUAUGUGUUGCUAAUAACUUCACUUGGACAACUUUAAAGGCAAUUUUCUCAAUAUUUAGAUUUUUUU